UCUGAGAUGUCAAGGCAUGAGCCAUGUGACUUUUCAAGGCAGCAUCUAAUGAUGGGGUCUGAUGAUGUUUAGGGAGUUGAGAAGCAGGACUCUGAGGGCUGCACCUUGGAGGGGACUGCAGGGAACUCCCAGGGCACAGCAUCUGGAGCUGGAUGGGGCACUGCAAGUAUGAGGGCAGUUUACACUCAGGAGGGAAGUGAAAUGACCAAGCACACUCCAGUCCAGACUUCGCACAAAGCUCCACAUGUGGGCAACACUCUGUGGUGCCUAAAACCCCAGUACAGACUUUGGAUCGUCUUUAAAUGACAAGGGAGACAGGAAGCUGCCAGAGUUGUGACCUUGUACACAUCCUCUACCUGCAUCUUUAUGGAAGAGAGAUGUUCCUAACUAGACACCCGGCUGAAUUUGUUUCAGGUAAUGUAGA
rnacentral:lncRNA from 1 species